rnacentral:rRNA from 1 species
GGUUUGAUAUUUGUGGGCCAGAUUGAACGCUGGCGGGAUGCUUUACACAUGCAAGUCGAACGGCAGCACGGACUUCGGGUCUGGUGGCGAGGGCGGAACGGGUGAGUAAUGCAUUGAACGCCUAGUAGCGGGGGAGCACUACGCGAAAGGUAGCUAAUGUCGUACGCCCUUCGGGGGAAAGCGGGGACCUUCGGCCCGCACCAUUAGAGCGGCCGAUAUCGGAUUAGCUAGUUGGUGGGGUAACGGCUCACCAAGACGACGAUCCGUAGCUGGUUUGAGAGGACGACCAGCCACACUGGGACCGAGACACGGCUCCAGACUCCUACGGGAGGCAGCAGUGGGGAAUUUUGAAUGUGGGGGGAAACCCGGAUCCAGCCAUCCUGGGCGUGUGCGAUGAAGGCCUUCGGGUUGUAAAGCACUUUUGGCAGUGAAAGAAACGGCACGGGAUAAUACCCGUGCAACUGACGGUACCUGCAGAAUAAGCACCGGUUAACUACGUGCCAGCAGCUGCGGUAAUACGUAGGGUGCAAGCGUUAAUCGGAAUUACUGGGCGAAGCGUGCGUGCAGGCGGUUCGGAAAGAAAGAUGAAAUCCCAGAGCUUAACUUUGGAACUGCAUUUUUAACUACCGAGCUAGAGGUGUCAGAGGGAGAAUUCCGCGUAGCAGUGAAGAAAUGCGUAGAUAUGCGGAGGAACACCGAUGGCGAAGCGCAGCCUCCGGAUAACACUGACGCUCAUGCACGAAAGCGUGGGGAGCAAACAGGAUUAUUACUCUGGUAGUCCACGCCCUAAACGAUGUCAACUAGCUGUUAGCCUUCGGGCCUUGCGCGCAGCUAACGCGUGCUGACUGCCUGGGGAGUACGGUCGCAAGAUUAAACUCAAAGGAAUUGACGGACCCGCACAAGCGGUGGAUGAUGUGGAUUACCUGAUGCAACGCGAAAAACCUUACCACCUUUGAGAUGUCUUUGAAGAAGAAGAGACGUCGGCAGUGCUCGCAAGAGAACUGAACACAGGUGUUGGUAUGGCUGUCGUCAUGCUCGUGUCGUGAGAUGUUGGGUUAAGUCCCGCAACGGAGCGCAACCCUUGUCAUUAGUUGCUACGAGGGCACCUCCCAUCGAGACUGCCGGUGACAAACUGAGGAAGCGUGGGAAGACGUCAAGUCCUCAUGGCCCUUAUGGGUAGGGCUUCACACGUCAUGCAAUGGUCGGGGACAGAGGUCGCCAACCCGCGAGGGGAGCCAAUCCUGAAUCCCUGAUCAACCGGAUCGCAGUCUGCAACUCGGACUGCGCGGAAGUCGGAAUCGCUAGUAAUCGCGGAUCAGCAUGUCGCGGUGAAUAUUGCCCUUAGGUCUUGUACACACCGCCUGUCACAACGAUGCGGGAGGUUCUACCGCAGAAGAAGUUAGCCAACCGCAAGGGGGCGAUUACCACGGUAGGAUUCAUGACUGGGGUGUCGUAACAAGGUAA